UGGGGAAUUUUGGACAAUGGGCGAAAGCCUGAUCCAGCAAUGCCGCGUGUGUGAAGAAGGCCUUCGGGUUGUAAAGCACUUUUGUCCGGAAAGAAAUCCUUGGCUCUAAUACAGUCGGGGGAUGACGGUACCGGAAGAAUAAGCACCGGCUAACUACGUGCCAGCAGCCGCGGUAAUACGUAGGGUGCAAGCGUUAAUCGGAAUUACUGGGCGUAAAGCGUGCGCAGGCGGUUUGCUAAGACCGAUGUGAAAUCCCCGGGCUCAACCUGGGAACUGCAUUGGUGACUGGCAGGCUAGAGUAUGGCAGAGGGGGGUAGAAUUCCACGUGUAGCAGUGAAAUGCGUAGAGAUGUGGAGGAAUACCGAUGGCGAAGGCAGCCCCCUGGGCCAAUACUGACGCUCAUGCACGAAAGCGUGGGAAGCAAACAGGAUUAGAUACCCUGGUAGUCCACGCCCUAAAACGAUGUCAACUAGUUGUUGGGGAUUCAUUUCCUUAGUAACGUAGCUAACGCGUGAAGUUGACCGCCUGGGGAGUACGGUCGCAAGAUUAAAACUCAAAUGAAUUGACGGGGUCAUAGCUGUUUCCU
rnacentral:rRNA from 1 species